rnacentral:rRNA from 1 species
UACGUAGGGUGCGAGCGUUGUCCGGAAUUAUUGGGCGUAAAGAGCUCGUAGGCGGUGUGUCGCGUCGGCCGUGAAAACCUGGGGCUCAACUCUGGGCGUGCGGUCGAUACGGGCAUCACUGGAGUUCGGCAGGGGAGACUGGAAUUCCUGGUGUAGCGGUGAAAUGCGCAGAUAUCAGGAGGAACACCGGUGGCGAAGGCGGGUCUCUGGACAGUUCCUGACGCUGAGGCGCGAAAGCGUGGGGAGCAAACGGG